GGGCGUCGCCUCAGCCCGGUGUCCAGGGUCUAGUAGCGCCCCACUCACUGUGGGAGAAAGCCAAGCAGCCGCUAUCCUUGCCAUAUGCCGGACCAGUUCUGGUGGUCACAGGGCCGAGUGCCCACGACGUGGGGAAGUCAGAUGCACCGCUGCUGAUGUCGGCGGCCAUGCCCUGGAUGGCGCUGCGUCGGUGCGCCCCGCGACAGGGAACACAGGCUCACGCCAUCCACACGAUAGGCGAGGUGUCGACGUGACUGGAACGUAUAUGGCGGCCGGCCCCUCGCACUGCGUGCUGGUGUGUGACGCCUGAGUGCCACCGUGAGGGAGAUGCACCAGGUGGCGACCGGCAUAGUGGGGGUGGGUAGAGUUUAUCUUUAUGGAGCAGGGGCCGUGCUCUCCGAUGACCAGGUCGGCGCAUCGCUGUGGGGCGUGUGCACGGCUGCUUUGCAGCCGCGCGAUGGGCCCUGUGACAGGCCGAUGGGUCGCGCGGCGUUUGGCCUGAUGCUCUGUGGCAGUGUACGGACACGUUGGAAAAGCAAACCUAAUACAUGGAUACCAUUCUUCUCACCUAUGCCCCUCCCCUCUCUCUCUUUCCGAUUCGUUCUGGCAGUGUGUGCCGCGCGCUGUGUGUUGCUCCUCCACCGAGCAGCGAGCAGUUGUGCUACCUUAGUGCAUUUCCUUCACAUUUUGUUUUGCUUUCUCUCUGUCAUAGUUUUUUUGUGCGCCGCUUGCUCCAUCCCGCCCCCUCGAACCUACUCAUAUUGCGUUGGGCCGACUGCCGUUGCUGGCAAGAGUUGUGUGUGUGUGCGCAACGCCUCUGUUCGGUGCGGUCCAACAAGUCCUUCCCGACUUUCCGCCCUUUGUUGUUUUUUUUUUUGUGCUCCCGCUCUUGACUGUCCCAGCGAUUCCUUGCGGCUUGCAGGGGAUAUAACAUCGGCAAUGAGCACCGACAAUGACAUUGAGCGCCAGAUCAUGAUGGAGAUGGAGGCAGAGAUCAGUCGAUCGCAGGGGAAUCGUCGCGAUCCUUACACCAACCCGCCGCCCUUUGAACUCAGCUUUAUCGAGGACGAUCCCAUGGAGGCGGCCCGGAAGGCAGAGGUGGACCGGAUUCAGCGUGAAAUCGAAGAGCGCCUCCGCCGAAAGCAGCAGCAGAAGCAGCGUGACUCUCUGGAGCUAUCACCGAACUGCUCGGCCAAUGAAGGUGAAAUGAGUGCUGUCUACGACUCUUUACAGCAGCCCCAGAACGCUGCCUGGCCCGUUGGAGCCCAUGAUCGUCACGUGGUUCGCGCGUCGCUUAGCAGUGAGUCGGAGAACCGCGAGAAGGCGGAAGAAGCAUCACGUCUUCGCGAAGACGAGGCAGCAAUGACGAGGAGAGAGACAGACGAGGAAGCGCGAAUUGAUAUGGAGGUGCAGGUGAGAAGAAGUGCCGAGAUUCAAGCGCUACGCGAAGCUGAGGAGCAGGCCCGUCGCGUGGCUGAGGAGCAGGCCCGUCGCGAAGCUGAGGAGCAGGCGCGCCGCGAAGCUGAGGAGCAGGCGCGCCGCGAAGCUGAGGAGCAGGCGCGUCGCGUGGCUGAGGAGCAGGCCCGUCGCGUGGCUGAGGAGCAGGCGCGCCGCGAAGCUGAGGAGCAGGCGCGUCGCGUGGCUGAGGAGCAGGCCCGUCGCGUGGCUGAGGAGCAGGCGCGCCGCGAAGCUGAGGAGCAGGCGCGUCGCGUGGCUGAGGAGCAGGCCGUCGCGAGCUGAGGAGCAGGCGCGCGCGGCUGAGGAGCAGGCCGUCGCGGCUGAGGAGCAGGCCGCGCGAAGCUGAGGAGCAGGCGCGUCGCGUGGCUGAGGAGCAGGCCCGUCGCGGGCUGAGGAGCAGGCGCGCCGCGAAGCUGAGGAGCAGGCGCGUCGCGUGGCUGAGGAGCAGGCCCGUCGCGAAGCUGAGGAGCAGGCGCGUCGCGUGGCUGAGGAGCAGGCCGUCGCGUGGCUGAGGAGCAGGCCGUCGCGAGCUGAGGAGCAGGCGCGCCGCGAAGCUGAGGAGCAGGCGCGUCGCGUGGCUGAGGAGCAGGCCCGUCGCGUGGCUGAGGAGCAGGCGCGCGCGAAGCUGAGGAGCAGGCGCGCCGCGAAGCUGAGGAGCAGGCCGUCGCGUGGCUGAGGAGCAGGCGCGUCGCGUGGCUGAGGAGCAGGCCGUCGCGAAGCUGAGGAGCAGGCGCGUCGCGUGGCUGAGGAGCAGGCCCGUCGCGUGGCUGAGGAGCAGGCGCGCGCGAAGCUGAGGAGCAGGCGCGUCGCGUGGCUGAGGAGCAGGCCGUCGCGAAGCUGAGGAGCAGGCGCGUCGCGUGGCUGAGGAGCAGGCGCGCGGCUGAGGAGCAGGCGCGCGGGCUGAGGAGCAGGCCCGUCGCGUGGCUGAGGAGCAGGCCGCGCGGCUGAGGAGCAGGCCCGUCGCGUGGCUGAGGAGCAGGCCCGUCGCGUGGCUGAGGAGCAGGCCGUCGCGUGGCUGAGGAGCAGGCGCGUCGCGAAGCUGAGGAGCAGGCGCGUCGCGUGGCUGAGGAGCAGGCCCGUCGCGUGGCUGAGGAGCAGGCCCGUCGCGUGGCUGAGGAGCAGGCCCGUCGCGUGGCUGAGGAGCAGGCGCGUCGCGUGGCUGAGGAGCAGGCCCGUCGCGAAGCUGAGGAGCAGGCUGGUGGUCUGGAGGAGGUUCUUCGUGAGGCGCGCGCCGUGGUCAUGGGAGAGUUCUCAGAGAAACUGAAGCAGCACAGCGCUGUUGCCGCUUUCGUGAGUGAUACUGAUGAGAAGCCGGUGAACUCCGCGAGCGCGACGCACAGAGGCGACGCCCGCUGGCAGAAUGAAUACACGGAGCAGGGGGGCACCGGUGCAGAUGCUGAGGAGGAGCACGGGGUGCAGCAGCAUGACUCGCGGUGUUGCCGUUACCGAACGAGCAGUCCGUCCGUGAGCGACCGCGACAUGCGAAGCGAGAGAAGCACAAACUCUAAAGACUCUGCCUCCGAGACGGUUAGCCGGUACUCUUUGUCUACCCUGGAAGCCAUCCGGAAUGACAACGGCAUCCUCUCUCGGACGGAGGAAGAAGUCUACUACGUGCCGCGCGUAACGAAAGAGGCGCCGUUUGAGAGUUUUGAGGAGGCUCUGUCCGCGGAGCUGAAAGCACACGGGCUCACAGAGGAUGCGAUCCGGCGCAGCUGCAUUGAAGUGCACCGAUACGGGACCAUCCGCGAGUCCGGCAAGUGCUUGUUUCCUCCGAGAGAGGUCACGGGGGAGGUGCCGGCGCACGGGAAGGUGCAGCUGGGUUUCUUCUCAGCCAAGCAGACGAUCAUCGCCCUCCAGCGUCCACUUCGGAAGCCGAACGCAGACCGCGAGCGACCAUGUGAACCGGGCGAGCGCUCGCUGAGCACCCUCAAGUGCUACUUCGAGUCUGAGGUGCUGAGUGAUCACACCCUGACGGUGGACGACGAGGAUUACCCGCACAACGCUCCCACGGAGCGCCUGCUGACAAAGGCGCAACUGAUGAGAGGCGACAAUGCCAUGGUACGGAAGGCUGUCUCGCAGAUUUCGUACGGCGACCCGAUCCAGGUGUGGGAGCGCGCGCAGCAGAACAGCACGGCGGCGGAUGAAGCGGCGACCGAGUCGACGGCAGCGAACUUGUGGGUAAGCGACAUCGACACCCGCAAACCCGUUCCCGCAAUGCGCACCUUUACCGGAGGCUUUGUGUACUGCAUCAAGGCGACGAAGAUCAGCAACCGAGUGAUAGAGCUGCAUGGAGCAAGCACCGAUCCUCUCGUCAUCGCAGCCGCGCUGUACAGCUGGACAGAGCGGCAGAAGGUAAAGGUCUCCGAAACGUUCUACUUCGAUUCCGAGCUGGACAUCUUCUACCCUCAAAAGGAGCGCAGCGAGCUCGCCAAGAAGAAUCAGGUUGUCGCCUUUGUGCCGAACGAGUUCAAGGGAACGCUGCACCUCGUGAUGCGUGUGUACCGACCCUGCUGCGAGGAGUACGACACCUACGUUGAUUUGUACAGUCGCGCAGACCGCUACAAGCAGAUCCACGUUGCACCUAUGAAGCAGGAGACGUUGCUGCUGACUCAAGUGUCCGACGUGCUGGAGGAGCUAGGCUGGAACUCGGUUCCGCUCCAGGACGAGGCAAACCACCUGCUUCCGAGGGUUGCCGUCGAUCGCCUUUACCGCAAGGCCUUCUCUAACGAAGACGUGUUCAAGGUAAUGAAGGACGAGCGCUGGCGCGGAGCUCAGAAGGCGCUGCCGGUGGACAUGGUCUUCUCCAUCUCAGAUCUGAGCAGGCACGAAGUGGCGUUUCCCUCCGACCACCCAGAGACGCCGCCGGAGGAGAACGAGUCGAAGGUAAGUCUGCUAGACCCUGACUUGCCGGGCGCUCGCCCGGUCAUCUACCGUUACUCGCCGUGCUGCAUCCCCAUCCUCAACUCCGGUUACUUCACGACAUAUAACAACGUGUACUAUUUCUCCGUGUCUAGGCUGAAGGUGAUGUACGCCGGCUUCGUCCGCAGCAUCCCUGCUUCGCAUCACACUUACGUCUUUCAGCUUUGUGUGAAGGACAAGGACGACGGACUCUCGGAGGAGGGCGCGAUCAGGUGCAUCUACGGGCGCGGGCUGUCGAACCUGUCGAUGGAGACGACGGCGUGGUCGUCCUCGGUACACAACUCGAAUGACAUGGUGCUUAGCGACGAGUUCAAGCUGCAGCUGCCGCUAAACCUCUCCGACCGCCACCACAUCUUCAUGACCCUCUACGCCACAUGCCAGAGGAAAAUGCCACCGACGCCUGGGCAGCCACGUAUGUUUAAAAUCGGCUACGCCGCUGUGCCACUGAUGAUGAACGGCGUUGUGCAGGUGCGCGACAGCAUCGACAUCAAGUUUGUUUCGUAUGACCAGGCAGCCGUCGCGGCCGCGGGCGGGUAUCUGACGAGCUUUGCUGAGGCCCCCGUGAACUUCCUGCUCAAUAACGGCGAGGGCGUUGUCAAGGCUUCGAGUCAGACCAAGACAACGGUUCACGCAUCCAACCGCGUCAUUGCAUCUGUCUUCCAGCAGUGCCCGUCCUCGAUUGCAGAGAUGAGGAAGAACGACAAGGUGCUCGAUGAGUGCGGCGCGCUGCAGAAGCUGCCUGCGAUGGAGGUCGACCCGCAUCGUAACGUGAUCAGUCUCAUUGCGCAGCUUCCGUUGGCAGAGAUUCUGGCCUUCUACCCUUUCCUCACCGCGUACGCCUUCUCCCUCAUCGGCUCCGGCUCGGCGACGGUGUCGCUGGCUAACCGCAUUCACAUGCUCGACGUCCUUUUAGGGAUUACUUCCAAGGCGCAGCAGUACGACACAUCAGCGCACACGAUUCGUCGACGCCACAACAGCGAAGGUCUGACACCGCAAGUGUUCGCCAAGACGAGCGUUGGAAGUAUACUGUACCACUUCCUGUCCAAUGACACCCUCUACGAAGGCGCCAAGUGUGAGUACAAGCGUCGCCUCUACAGUGGCAUGGUCGAGGCAUGGCUGAACCUACUUAAGAUGGUAGCGCAGCAGCCAAACGGUAUCGGAGCCGACUCAGCGAAGGAAAAGAGCGGCACUUCCGCGCCUUCUUCCUCACCUGCUAGCCCUGCUAGUCUUGCCCGUGGCAGCAAGGCCCCGCCGCCGGCUCGCAGUAUCCUGCGUGAGAUGAGCAAUCUGUCGUGGUUUCUCUUUGACACAAUUCUGCGGUCCAUGUACCUCUGGGGAGCCGAGAACCCGACAGUGCCCCGCCAGGAGCUCUUCCACUCGUCUUUUUACACCGCCGUGGCGGAGCUCUGCAUUGUGGCGCUGUCUCAGCUGUCAACAUUCGAUGAGAGUCAGCUUGUGCGCCACGUCGCCAUCUUUGUGCGCAGCCUGAUGCACUACGCCGACCGUGGCCGCGUGCUGAUGAUCUACGAGCGCAUCGCUGCUUACUUCGAGGAGGACGGCAACUUUGAGAGCCUCACCAACUUCCUCAAGUACGUGCUGGAGGACCCGGAUGCGAUUUACCUGCUGCUGCCCUCCGCCGGAGCGGCCCGUCCCGUCUUCCUCACGCGCAUUGUUGUUCACUCGUUCACCAUUCUCAUGAUCAACCCGAACCGUGUGACGCGAUCGAUCGCCACCGACGUGCUGUACUCAUUUCUGCGUCGCCUCGCCAACGACUCAAGCACUCCCAGCGAGAAUCUCACCUGCAUCGCGGCACAGCUGUUCGCCCUGGUGCGCAACCUAGGCCCGCACUGGAAGGCCAUUACGCAGCCUAACGACAAGAUACCGAUUGAGGUGUUUCAGCGUGACAAGCAGCAGCUGUCCAUGACAUGCUUGUGGAUUCUCUACUACACGCCCCGCAGCACGUUCCGGCAAUGGCUGCAGGAAGAGGUGGACGGAAAGGUGAUCGCUGGCAUGAUGCAGAUUGUGGCCGAGUCGCAGUCGACCUUCCGCUACACCGCCGCCCCCGCUUCCUCGAGUGCCGCCGGCCCCGUCGCGGGCGUUGCAAAGGACGCGGCAAACGAGGAGGUGGAGGAGAGGCGGGCGUGGGAGGCGCGCAGCACAACCUUUGUGACUGCAAUCGGAACGCAAAUGUGCAGCCUCUUCUUGAACGAGAUUCCGAGUAUAUUGCGCACUGUGCGCGACAACAACCCUAACGCCGCCGUGUUCCCGUUCUUUGUCAUGCUGGAGUCCGUUCUCAACCUGGGAAACUCCACCAUAUCCCUGCAAAUGAGCUCCGCUGUGAUGCACGAGGUGGUGUGCAAGCUGUUCCCGGAGAUCAUCAGCCGCAAGGCGAGGAUGGGGAACGGCAUGGUCCUGCUCACCUUCCGUCUCAUGAGCAGCUGCUGCCAGUAUGUUCGCUCCUCGGCCAGCUGCACGUUCCUGCUGAUGAGUCAGGCCUUCUUCUCCUGGAAGAACUCUCUGUCCAAGAUCAGGUCGCUGACUGCCAACGCGCUCGUCUCUGUGGCCGAGUCGCGCGUGAGGGACCUGCGCCUUGCUGGGCGCUUCAUCGAGUUUCAGUUUGACGAGCUGAUUGAGAGGGCCAAGGUGGAGGAGGCAAACUACACGGCGCCGUCGUGCGACUUCGCCUCUCGCUACGAGGACGACUCGAACGCGCCUGGCGGUGAUGCGCAGAUGAAGUACAGGCAAAAGGUCGAGGGCCAGGUUAUGAGCGUGCAGCGCAAUCUCCCCAUCUCGCGCUACUUGCUGGAGAAGUCGAACGUGCCAGACCAACAGCCACCACGCUUCUCUAGCGACUUUACCGCCAUGACGGCGACGGUGCUCAGCCUCUUCGACGAUGUCUUGCGUCUGCAGAUGGACGACUCAAUGAAGUUCAAGGAAGCGAGGGCGACGGCGUAUUUUGAGGUCUUUCGAAACUUCCUACGGCAGAACGCGCUAAAGGAAGCCCUAAAGUGGCUCUACCGCCUGCACGACGCACACAGGGCAAACAGCGACUACCUGGAGGCUGGCAUGGUGCUGGUGUUCAUUGCUGCCCUGUGCUUCCGCGUCACGGAGGUGUUCUACUUUGUCAAAGGGAAAGACUCGAAGGGGGCCCGCAUGCCGUUUGAGGUUCUCUCGCACGUGUUCUGGCACGACUACGUGCGCAUCCUACCCGAGGUGGAUGCGCUGCUUCCCGCAGACACGGUGUACGCAAUUGUGUCGGAGCUGUACACAUGCCCCGACGACAUGUGCUUCUCCAUGGAGGGCCAGGUGAAGGCGCUGAAGGAGGCGGCCGAGUUUCAGGACAAAGGCCAGUACUACGAGUACUCGCUGCAGACAAUAGACAUUGCGAACAAGUACCUGAUGGCGGUCAGCGACUUCAAAGGAUCGUCGGUGGUGCACAUGGCCAUGUCCACCUGGUGUACCGCCAUUGCAGAGCCCAAGUCGAAGCGGCACAACAGUCGCUACUUCUUCCUGUGGGCACGCAUGGAACGCCACACUUUGCCCAAGUCGCGCAAGGAGCUGCAUGAGGACGCGAACGACAGUAAGGUAGGCGAGAAGCCGCGCGGGCUGCCAAACGGCAACCCGAUCCGCCGCAUCUACAAGAUGUCCACCGCCACCACGCUGGAAGAGUUCAAGAACUACGCGAGGUCGUACGUGGAGUCGCUCUUCUUUGACACAUCGCUGGUGCUGCUGACAGACGACUUGACAGAGACCUUGCCGGCCCUGCCGGAGCCGGACUCGAAGCGCAAGCGCGUUGCUGCCGUGCACCGUCAACCAAAUCAUUGCCUUGUGACAGUGAGCGAGGUGCAGCCGUACUUCGCCAAGGGCACUCGCGUGCCCCCUGACGGCUUCGACCGGUCUAUGCACAUCAGCUACUUUGAGAAUACCGUGAACGUCGGCAGCCGCGACGAGGUUUCGGACGGUCGCAAGCUGGACCUUAUGACGCAGCGCAUGAGCGUGAACACUUACGAACUGGAGCGCUCCUUUCCCUCCACGACGUCGGCCAUCGACAUUGCGAAGACGCAUCAGGUAGUUCUCAACCCGUUCGAGACUGCAGAGGAGAUGCUGAACAGCCGUCGCGAGGCCAUGAACCAAGCCCCCGUCAACGAUGCCUUGAUCACAGUAAUCCGCAAAGCCCUCUCACCAAAGGAGCUGCCGCCCGGUGCGUACAUGAAGGAGGUGAUCGCGGUCAUGGGAGACCACCCUGAGGUGAUUCAUGCUGUGCGGGCGCUCAGCACUCUCGCUCGUGCAAAGCUGGAGGCCUGCGAGAAGAUGGAGGCCAUGUCCAAGAACCCUGAAGACUACGCGCUAGUGCUGAAGGCGGUGACCGAUAUCGAGUGCUGUUUGGUGGCUAUGCAGCAUCCCGACGAGAAUGACCACGCUAGCAGCAGCGGCAUGUAGAAAGGGCUGCGGCGGUAAGCUGUGUAUACGCCCUGCUUUGGCUUCUGCUUUGGCGCCCGCGACGUGUGUGCGGAGGGGGAUGCGCAUUGUCCUUGUUGCAUGUUUUUUUUUCCUCUAAUCGUCAUGCGUAGGCCGCGGACGAACCGUGAGGCGAUCUGUCGUGUAAUGGAUGCGCCUGUGCGCGUCUUGUCAUCUUCACCUGUUGCGCCCAAACGUGCGCUGAUGAUGAAAUCAUCUCUUUCGUGCGCUGUCUCCAGCCUCACGUCGGCUCUCUUUCUCUUCUUUUUUUUUUGGGGGGGGGCUCUUCCGACGCGUGCUUCGCACUCAAAGGGCCAUGCUGUGCCUGAGCUUAGCAGAUGGCUCUAUCCACCACUCCGACUCCCUGCUCAACGCGCGGUGCCGUUGUGCUGCGGGCACCGCAGGAGUAUUCCCAUCCGUGUGCCUGUGUGCGAGCCAAUGUGUAUGUGUCUUUUUUAGCGUAUUUUUGACCACCAGCAACUAGCUUAGCAAACAACGAAAAAGGACCACCAUUCGAGCACAGAAAGGGGAGCCUGGCGCCCAUUUCAUUCGCGUUCUGUCUUGCCGGCGGGGGCUGCAGUGACAGGCACUUCGUGUUAUGUCUGUGCUAAGCUGUGUUUGUUUUCCCCUCGUCUCUCCUGCUUGCGCACCUUUUCGUUUCUGUGACUCUCUUCCUCUACCUCCCUUGCACAUCCGCAUGUGUGUUGUUAUUGCGAUUGUUGUUCGUCCGCGCCCGCGGCGUUUUCUCCUCCAUUUUUCGUUGCUGAGGCUUCGUUGUUUUGUGUCUCUCACACCUUCGUGCGUCCUAAUCACGACAACUCAACUCACGCACGACGGGUGAUAACAGCGGAGGUGUGGUUUCGCCGUUAAGGUGAGCGCUCAAACGUGAUCGCUGCCGUUACACGACCUCUUAACCACGCCGCGACACUCGCUGCCCCGGCAAGGACGAAGCGUGCUUGGGUGGUAUCACGUACCCGUCCCGGCUCGCGCGCGCUCCGGUGCAUUCCUAUGCCCGCAGACAAGUCGCUCUGGAAAGCAGCCGGUGCUGGUUAACCGUGCCAGUGCUACCUUCUUAUGCGGUUGAACGAUGGCCUGUGGUAGCUGCUGCCGGCUUGGCGUGCAAGCGAAGAUGGAGCGAUGCUGCUUUAGCUGGUGCUGUGCUCGAUGCUAGCGGCUCACAUAGGAAUUCUCUGUCAUCCUCCGUGC
rnacentral:misc_RNA from 1 species